rnacentral:rRNA from 1 species
AUCAACGCUGGCGGCGCGCCUAACACAUGCAAGUCGAGCGAGAAAGGGAGCAAUCCUGAGUAAAGCGGCGUACGGGUGAGUAACACGUGGAUCAUCUGCCCUUUUGUGGGGAAUAACUUUGGGAAACCGAGGCUAAUACCGCAUAAGUCCGAGAGGAGAAAGCAGCAAUGCGCAGAAGGAGGAGUCCGCGGCCGAUUAGCUAGUUGGUGAGGUAAUGGCUCACCAAGGCUUCGAUCGGUAUCCGGCCUGAGAGGGCACACGGCCACACUGGCACUGAGACACGGGCCAGACUCCUACGGGAGGCAGCAGUGGGUAAUCUUGCACAAUGGGGGAAACCCUGAUGCAGCGACGCCGCGUGAGCGAUGAAGCCCUUCGGGGUGUAAAGCUCUUUCGACGGGAACGAUAAUGACGGUACCCGGAGAAGAAGCUGCGGCUAACUACGU